AGAGUUUGAUCCUGGCUCAGGACGAACGCUGGCGGCGUGCUUAACACAUGCAAGUCGAGCGAUGAAGCUUCCUUCGGGAAGUGGAUUAGCGGCGGACGGGUGAGUAACACGUGGGUAACCUGCCUCAAAGUGGGGGAUAGCCUUCCGAAAGGAAGAUUAAUACCGCAUAAUAUAAGAGAAUCGCAUGAUUUUUUUAUCAAAGAUUUAUUGCUUUGAGAUGGACCCGCGGCGCAUUAGCUAGUUGGUAAGGUAACGGCUUACCAAGGCAACGAUGCGUAGCCGACCUGAGAGGGUGAUCGGCCACAUUGGAACUGAGACACGGUCCAGACUCCUACGGGAGGCAGCAGUGGGGAAUAUUGCGCAAUGGGGGAAACCCUGACGCAGCAACGCCGCGUGGGUGAUGAAGGUCUUCGGAUUGUAAAGCCCUGUUUUCUAGGACGAUAAUGACGGUACUAGAGGAGGAAGCCACGGCUAACUACGUGCCAGCAGCCGCGGUAAUACGUAGGUGGCGAGCGUUGUCCGGAUUUACUGGGCGUAAAGGGUGCGUAGGCGGAUGUUUAAGUGGGAUGUGAAAUCCCCGGGCUUAACCUGGGGGCUGCAUUCCAAACUGGAUAUCUAGAGUGCAGGAGAGGAAAGCGGAAUUCCUAGUGUAGCGGUGAAAUGCGUAGAGAUUAGGAAGAACACCAGUGGCGAAGGCGGCUUUCUGGACUGUAACUGACGCUGAGGCACGAAAGCGUGGGUAGCAAACAGGAUUAGAUACCCUGGUAGUCCACGCCGUAAACGAUGGAUACUAGGUGUAGGGGGUAUCAACUCCCCCUGUGCCGCAGUUAACACAAUAAGUAUCCCGCCUGGGGAGUACGGUCGCAAGAUUAAAACUCAAAGGAAUUGACGGGGGCCCGCACAAGCAGCGGAGCAUGUGGUUUAAUUCGAAGCAACGCGAAGAACCUUACCUGGACUUGACAUCCCUUGCAUAGCCUAGAGAUAGGUGAAGCCCUUCGGGGCAAGGAGACAGGUGUGCAUGGUUGUCGUCAGCUCGUGUCGUGAGAUGUUAGGUUAAGUCCUGCAACGAGCGCAACCCUUGUUAUUAGUUGCUACCAUUAAGUUGAGCACUCUAAUGAGACUGCCUGGGUAACCAGGAGGAAGGUGGGGAUGACGUCAAAUCAUCAUGCCCCUUAUGUCCAGGGCUACACACGUGCUACAAUGGUAGGUACAAUAAGACGCAAGACCGUGAGGUGGAGCAAAACUUAUAAAACCUAUCUCAGUUCGGAUUGUAGGCUGCAACUCGCCUACAUGAAGCUGGAGUUGCUAGUAAUCGCGAAUCAGAAUGUCGCGGUGAAUACGUUCCCGGGCCUUGUACACACCGCCCGUCACACCAUGAGAGCUGGUAACACCCGAAGUCCGUGAGGUAACCGUAAGGAGCCAGCGGCCGAAGGUGGGAUUAGUGAUUGGGGUGAAGUCGUAACAAGGUAGCCGUAGGAGAACCUGCGGCUG
rnacentral:rRNA from 1 species